UUUUCUAUCCUCUUCUUUCCUUCUCUCCUACUAUUUUUCUCCAUCUUUCUAGCAGCCUUUGCACCCCUUAAAUUGUGUGCAGCUCCUGCAACUCACAGGCACAAAGUAGUGUUUAUUUCAGCCAGCAUGAAAGUAAGUGUUAUUUUCCCGGGAAAGGUCAAGGUUUCUUUCCGGAGAGGGCCGACUGGGUAUUUGAGGCAAGACCCAUCAGUCGAGGCUAAGAGGAUUAAAGACCACCCUGACCUCCAGGACAAGUCAGCGGCCCAGAAUGAAGACCGGGUGAAAGACAAUGCCAGGUCUGUCGUAUUCAUGAGAGGGGGCGAUAUAUCAGACAAGCAGGAGGUGCUUGGGGAGUAUGUCCUGCAGUUUGGGAAAUACAAGGGAAAGUUAUUCCGGUGGCUUGCAGAGAAUGAUGUAGGGUACGUAAUAUACCUCAUCAAGAAAGUCAGGGAGGAGGAGAGAGCAGGCCAGUUUAAGCCAGAUGGUCCCAAGAAGAACAGCUUGUUGUCACUCCUGCAGUACAGCUACAGCUUCCAGGAGAUCAAGGACCUGCUGCUGUAUCUGGACAGUCAGGUAGUAACACUACCUGACUGUCCCCAAAACCAACCUAGUUGGUUUUGGGGUUCACACGAAGAGGACGUGGAGGGAUGUUUGGAAGCGGAGAGACAAUGGAUUUUAAGCGUUUAUGCUGCGACAGCAGUGUACGCCAGGCAGCAAAAUGUUUAGGCUCCAGGACUACCUGAACAGGCAGAGUGCUUCUGAGGGACGUGCUUCCCACUGGGCAUGCAACAUCGGCCUCUCAUUGCCCAGCUUUCACAGAAAUGGAGGAUGAUGAUGAGUUGGAGAGGAUGAUGCUCUCUAUAUCCCCAUCCAAACUCCAAGCGGAGGAAGGAGUUGAGGAAUGGGAGAGAAAGAUGCCAGCCACACCUAUUCCAGGCCAUCUUGGUUCCCAAGUUGUCGAAGUCCCUGUGGUCAAAGGUUUUAUUCUUACUACAGUACUACUGAUUGUCCGGACAUGAAUUCGGAUAAUCUGUUCUACGUUUAUUUGUUGGUUAAGCCACGUUCUGGCCUGUUUGUUACGCCAUGUUCCGGCCUCUUUUAAUGCCUGUGUUCAAUUGUUCCAUUAACAUUGAAGGCAUUAAUAUCUCGUCAUUGAGGUACCUCCGGAGUUGCUUGCCUUGGGGUUGCCUUCAAGCAAGAACACAACAUCAGCGCCAAACACCGUGUUGUGUCAAUCUUUACUCCCUGUGAGGUCAGUGUGUUCCACACCUGCUCGUUCCACAGCACCUGCUGUUGCCACAGCAUCCUCUGCCCUGUCUAGAGUACCUGCUCUGUCUACGGCAUCCAGGUCCUCUUCCGCCCUUCCUGCAGCACCUGCUCUGUCGGCGUCGUCAAGGUCGUCUACAGCACCCUCAACAUCAUAUCCACCUCCUGCAGCACCCUCGGCACCAUGUUCACCUGAUCCACCACUCCCAAGGUACGACCAGGAUGUGAUCCGUUGGAACUGCUCUCACCAUCAGAGAAUAUGGAUGAAGACCGAGAUGGAGGCCUUGGGGCUUUGGCCAGGUUCUCGACCGGUGAGACAUCCAAUGAACAUGAUCUCCUUGUGGCGUUACCCACCUCAGCCUGAACUAAUUGACAGUGUUUACGAACUACCAUCGCCCAACUACUUCCAGCUCCAUCCAUUUUUUAUAUGGAAGCCAGAUCACACCAUAAUGGAGCGAGUCAAGAACAAUUACACUCUGCCCUGUCUCUAUGGCUGUGGAAGUCCUUUCAUUGUAUCAUCAGGGGUUGGGCGACCCCGUGUAAUUAUUGGCUUGAGUGGCCAGUAUUAUAUCCUGGCGUCACGGCUCUGUUGCAAAGGAUGCAACAAGUUCUGGCACGCAGACAAGCCGCAAUGGUUGGACAUGUUGCCGAGCCGAUUCACCAAGAUCUUACCAGCUUUCCUUACCUUCAAAAAGGCAAUUUGUAAGACUGUGAUGGAUGAGCUGCGGCGCUCUGGAAAGUCUCCAAAUGACAUGGCCAACCAGUUAAAUGAGGCUCUCCACCUGAAAUAUGAGCGGGCACACUUGGCAUACCUGGAAAGUGUGAAGAACGUGCUGGAUGGAGAGAGUGGACUGUAUGGACAGCGAACCAUCACAGGGGCAUUGAGAAAAACAUCAACUCCUGCUCCAUUUGGUGGGUAUGCGGAUGGGUGGAACGGCGUGACGUUAUCGGGGCAUUACCUGGUCGAGUGCCUUAUUCAGGAGUUCCACAGACAGGAGGACACCCUUGUUCUCCUCCUCCAAGGCACAUUCGGUCAGGCCUUGAGAGCUGACCACACCAGGAAGGUGGCGCGGAAAGUGGUUCUUGCCUCAGGCACCAUGUCAUCAUAUGCUGUAAUGAAUGAGAAUUGGAUGAUCCUGUCCUGGGUCAUGCUUCAGACAGAGGGGGACAGAUCCUUGGAACACAUGUACGAGGGGCUGUCCUGCCGUUACACCUCCGCAGACAUCCCCAAAGCCAAAUACCAAUGGGUUGACAGGGACUGCUGUGCAGCCUUUAGGGUCGCAAAGUCUGGUCCCCAGGAGCACCUCCUCUGGGACUGCUGGAGAACCACUGAUGAUUUAGUGGCUGAGGCAACUUCAGGGCCCCUCAACAACACCUGUGCAUCCCGCAGCAAGUUCAACAGCGACAUUGACAUCAAGCUGGACCUGUUUCAUUGCAUGCGCCGCCUCUCCAGAGAGUGUGUGUCAGAGCACCAUCCUCUGCACAGCUCCUUUUGCAAGUUUCUUUCUGUAGCUUUCACUAUCGUGGACCAGACAGACCUAGAGAAACUUAAACAGGCAUACGUUUUUUGUGGUAUUGUGCCUGCUAAUCCCACCAAACAGCACACCAAAGAGCAUUGUCGCACCAGGAUACCUGGUCCCCAAGAGCUGCUGGAGAGGGUUGAGCGCGUUUUGCAGCGAUUCCAUUUGGAGUCUGAUCCCGAUGGUAUCCCGCUGUUUAAGCCGUCAAUGUUGACGGUGUGGAGGAUUCAGCGUUUUCACAUACUCAGAGGCUGCUUGAGUGACCCAGAGGUUGCAGAGGGAAUCCUUUACAGAUAUGGCGGAACAGUGCAGCUCAACCAUGUCAAGGGAGAGGGAGCUACUGUGCCCCUGUGGAUCCCUGUGAGAGGUACAUCACAGCAGGAGGGGUUCCAUUUCCAUCAAGCAAAAUGGGUGACGGGUAACAAGGUCUCCACAGAACUCUUCCAAGCUCAGGGCAUGAUUGGUGUGGCUCGGUGGAAUUUCAAGCGCCUUGUGGACCUGAAGUUGCCUGAUGUGAAGCUGCCUGCAGUCUUUGAUCCAGUACUGAUGAUGGAGCUGAAUAAGCUCUCUGAAGUGCUGACAGGUCAUGCCAAGUACCCUGCCUUGCGUGUUUCACACACUGACACAGGAGAAAGGUUUGGACUCCAGUAUCUAGAACCUGGCUGUCGUCCUGCGCCGCUGGACUGCAGCAAGCACAAGACCCAGAAGGUUCCUGUUGCAGGAGAGAGAGAGCACCACUCCUCAGAACCGUCUCUUCUCAGUGAGACAUUCACUGAAGACCCAUCUGAGGAGACGAGGGAGGAAGACUGUGCUCCGGAUGACCUCUUUGGUGUGGCUUCCCUUGGCUCACAUGCAGUGGCCCAACCCUCACAGCCAUUCAAAGUUCAAGUUCUCCCAGUCCCAGUGACGCCACCGAUGCCCAUGUCUGCCUCUCUACGUGCUGCACGCACAGUUCUAUUCCCAGUCCCAGUCCCAGUCCCAGUGACGCCACCGAUGCCCAUGUCUGCCUCUCCACGUGCUGCACGCACAGGUCCAGUCAAGGCAGGCGGCCUACUUUUUGUCCUGGACCAAUCCCGGUGGACACAGCCAAUGAGGGAUGCCAUCGAUGGCCUUCUGGCAAAGCACCAUGGCCAGAAAGACCUCCUCACCAAGGUGGAUGCAGAGUAUGCUGCCCUUGUGCUUGCUGCCUCCAGAGAUCCGAACAACUUGUUACAUCCGACCACCAAACAGCACAUCUCACGGUAUGUGAAACACCAGGCCAAGCUGAUGAACAGAAGUUUGUGUCUGAAUACCAGUCCAGAGAAACUCCUUGAGACACAAGAGCUGUGGCAUCAUCUCACAGAGGGUAGUGAAACUGUUUGCGUCCCGGUGGUAACCCUCCCACCUGCACCUGUGAAUCCGCCCAGCAGUAAGUCGCAAGAGCCCUCUCUCACAAAGGCUGAAAUUGAAAACCUGGUCAAAGAGCUUGUGCAAAAGCAGCAGCAGCAGCAGCAGCAGCAGCAGCAGCAACAACAACAGCAGCCUGUGCCAAAAAAAAUUAGGAACUGUCUUGCAUGUGGCCAGCCUAAGUCCCGUUACCUUGGCGAUGGCUCCUCCAUUCACUUCUUUUACCAGGCAGGAAAGGUUAAGUACUUUUACUGCUCUACAAAGAUGCAUCGGACCUAUGUAGCAGAAGGCCUUACUGAUCCCCGCAUGGAAUUUCUUGACUUUGCUGCCACACCUUUUUUCAAGAGAGAGCUGGAGGCAGCAAAGCAGCGGUCUGCUGAGUCCAGGCAGGUAACAGAAGAGCGGGGAAAGAGAAAGGCCAUGGAGCAGCUUCCCACUGGUCGCCUGUGUAGGUUCUGCCACAAACCUAUAAAACAAGGCCCAGGCGGUCGGCAUACACACACUGGGUUCCCUGGUGUGACCGGGAAAUAUGUGUACUGUCCUUCAAAAGUUUUUCACCUGUAUCAGUCAGAGGGGAUGACUUCGGAGAUGUCUUGGGAGGAGUUCUGUCAGUCUCCCUUUUAUGAGACUGAAAAGAAGAGGUGGGUGGCAGAAAAGGGAAGGUGAUCGGCCCGUUUGGAACACUUUUAGUUAUUCAAUUUGGUUAAUCUUUUAUUUAUUUUUUUAUUUGGUUCUGGGUAUUUUCUGAUCAGAUGCUGGAA
ensembl:lncRNA